AGAAUCAACGCUGGCGGCGUGCCUAACACAUGCAAGUCGAACGAGAAAGUGGAGCAAUCCAUGAGUAAAGUGGCGCACGGGUGAGUAACACGUGACUAACCUACCCUUGAGUGGGGAAUAACUGAGGGAAACCUUCGCUAAUACCGCAUAACACCUACGGGUCAAAGGAGCAAUUCGCUUAAGGAGGGGUCGCGGCAGAUUAGCUAGUUGGCGGGGUAAUGGCCCACCAAGACUAUGAUCGGUA
rnacentral:rRNA from 1 species